rnacentral:rRNA from 1 species
AGCGAACGCUGGCGGCAGGCUUAACACAUGCAAGUCGAACGGGCAUCUUCGGAUGUCAGUGGCAGACGGGUGAGUAACACGUGGGAACGUACCCUUCGGUUCGGAAUAACUCAGGGAAACUUGAGCUAAUACCGGAUACGCCCUUUUGGGGAAAGGUUUACCGCCGAAGGAUCGGCCCGCGUCUGAUUAGCUUGUUGGUGGGGUAACGGCCUACCAAGGCGACGAUCAGUAGCUGGUCUGAGAGGAUGAUCAGCCACACUGGGACUGAGACACGGCCCAGACUCCUACGGGAGGCAGCAGUGGGGAAUAUUGGACAAUGGGCGCAAGCCUGAUCCAGCCAUGCCGCGUGAGUGAUGAAGGCCUUAGGGUUGUAAAGCUCUUUUGUCCGGGACGAUAAUGACGGUACCGGAAGAAUAAGCCCCGGCUAACUUCGUG